rnacentral:rRNA from 1 species
GACGAACGCUGGCGGCGUGCCUAAUACAUGCAAGUAGAACGCUGAAGGAGGGGAUUUCUUCUCCGGAUGAGUGGCGAACGGGUGAGUAACGCGUAUGUAACCUGCCUGGUAGCGGGGGAGAACUAUUGGAAACGAUAGCUAAUACCGCAUAAGAGCAGAUGUCGCAUGACAUUUGCUUAAAAGGUGCAACUGCACCACUACCAGAUGGACCUGCGUUGUAUUAGCUAGUUGGGGAGGUAACGGCUCACCAAGGCAACGAUACAUAGCCGACCUGGGAGGGGGGUCGGCCAAACUGGGACUGGGACACGGGCCAGAACCCUAACGGAGGCAGCAGUAGGGGAACUUCGGACAUGGACGGAAGGCUGGACGAGGAACGCCGGGUGAGUGAAGGAAGUUUUCGGGUCGGUAAAGUCCGUUGUGCGGGGAGAAAGAGAGUGAGAGUGAAAAGUUCACACUGUGACGGUAUCUGACCAGAAAGCGACGGCUAACUACGUG